rnacentral:rRNA from 1 species
UCCUACGGGGGGCAGCAGUAGGGAAUUUUCGUCAAUGGGCGCAAGCCUGAACGAGCAAUGCCGCGUGAACGAGGAAGGUCUUCGGAUCGUAAAGUUCUGUUGAAGGGGAAAAAGAGCGGAGAGAGGAAAUGGUCUCCGGUUGAUAUUACCCUUCGAGGAAGUCACGGCUAACUACGUGCCAGCAGCCGCGGUAAUACGUAGGUGGCGAGCGUUAUCUGGAAUGAUUGGGCGUAAAGGGUGCGUAGGCGGCCUGCUAAGUCUGGAGUGAAAGGUACCGGCUCAACCGGUACAGGCUCUGGAAACUG